rnacentral:lncRNA from 1 species
UCUCUCAUUUUUCCUUCUGUAUGCGUUAGUUGUCACUUUGAAGUGACAACAUGGCAGAGGCUCAACAUGGUGAGCCCUUGAGCUUCUACUUGCAGACAACCACCCAGGAUUGCCAUCCAAUCAGGAGCUUCCAUAUUUGACUGUGCUGGGAAGCCACAAAUUUUAAUUGGGUUAAACCACUGAGAUGUCAGAGUUUAAUUGUUACUAUAGAAUAGACUAGCCCAGUAUGAUCAAUCAAUACGGUGAAAGACUGGAAUACUUUACCUAGCAUAACUGGCAUCUGGAGAAUCAUUUUAAUACCCCAUUUUUUUAUAGGAAAAGAGUAUUUCAUGUUACACAUAUCGCAAGAAAACCUGGUCAUAUAAUAGAAGCAGGGUAGUUUUUUUCUUUUAUACAACUUAAUUUAUUUUUAAAUAAAAAUGCAAUGCCUUAAUGUACUUUUAAAUAAAAAUAAAAUAAGAAUAUAAAAAGUAAUAAAUUAAUUGUGUUAACUGCAAUGCUGUGUUUUUUAAAGGGGAAAAUAUACCUAAAUAUUGGUCCAUUAUAAUGGUAAACAAUAAAAUUGCAGUUUCUAUUAUUUUCUCCUUCUUUCUUUCUUUCUUUUUUUUUUUUUCUUUUGAGAGAGAGAGGGAGAGUAUUACUCUAUCAUCCAGGCUGGAGUACAGAGUACAGUGGUACAAUGCUUGCUCACUGCUGCAGCCUCAAACCCCUGGGCUCAAGCAAUUCUGCCUCACCUCCCAAGGAGCUAGGACUACAGUCUCGUGCCACCAUGUCUGAGUAAUUUUUUAAAUGUUUUAUGGUGAUACGGUCUCACUUUGUUGCCCAGGUUGGUUUCAAAGUACUGGCCUCAAGCAAUCCUCCCACCUCGGCCUCCCAAAGUGCUGAGAUUACAGGCGCAAGCCACUGUGUGAGUCUGGUUUCUGUUUUCCAGCCUUAGCUAUAUACAAAUCUUUCAGAAACUUUGUCAAAAUUAAUUUUCUUCACAUAUUCAUGUUCAAUAGACAAUAAAUGCUUUUUUAUCCAUCUAUUCCCUGGUAGUUGAUGAAAGAACAUGUUUUAUUAAUUUUAAUCUCAUGAAAUUUCUUUCACAUGAAACAGCAGAGAUAUAAACAGCUAAGAAAAUUCUUAACCUAAGUCUAAUCCUGGCAAAGUUUCAUAAAAAUUCCGUUUCAUAAUAAAUUCCAGAAAUCACAUACUUCCCAUAUCUUUGUUUUUUUGGUAUCAUUCUAGUCCCUUUCAAAUAUUUUGACAGUCAAAAAAAUUCCCCUAAAAUACUUUCAGCAGAAAUUCAUCAUAAACUUCUAUUACAUCUAGUAAAAACUUCUCUAAGUCUUCCUUCUGCUCACAUAACUAUCCAAUUACUAGGAUGGAAAAUAAGCAAACCCUCAACCUUCAACAAACAUAGAAAGGGCAAUAGGAACAAUAAGCUGCGAAUGCCUUUAUGGUUUUUCAUCACAGUUUUGCAGAUAGCUCUGCAGAUAGCAACUAUCUGUAAAUAGCUGCAGAUUGUUAUACAGUUUAUGAUAACCCAUUGAUCAUAAACUGUGUAAUGACACAGUAUUUCCAAAGGAAUUCUUUAUAGUAAGAAUAAGAAUUUCCACCAGAUAGAAAAGAGACAUUGCACAUACAGUAGUGUCACACCUAAAUCACUUAUUUAAUAAACAUGGAAUUAUCUGCGGAAGUUAAUUGUGACAACUCCCAGCUAUGCAGUUGGCCUCCCACACAUGUGGACUCAGCUACCACAUUCAUUUCCAGAGGAAGUUUCUUAUGGUUCAGAAUCCUUCAAGCUUGAUUCCGGUGUAGUUCAUAAGUGGCAAUCAUAAACUGUGUAAUUCCACAAUAGUCCUAGUUUCAAUAUUUUCCUGGGAAAAGAAACAUUUUGAGAAAUCCCU